rnacentral:misc_RNA from 1 species
GCCGUAUCGGAAGGUGCGGCUGGAUCACCUCCUUUCUAAGGAAAAACGGAAUGUACUUGAGUUUCUUAUUUAGUUUUGAGAGGUCUUGUGGGGCCUUAGCUCAGCUGGGAGAGCGCCUGCUUUGCACGCAGGAGGUCAGCGGUUCGAUCCCGCUAGGCUCCAUUGAAUCGAAAGAUUCAAGUAUUGUCCAUUGAAAAUUGAAUAUCUAUAUCAAAUUCCAUAUGUAAGUAAUUACAUAUAGAUAGUAACAAGAAAAUAAACCGAAACGCUGUGAAUAUUUAAUGAGUUAGGUCGAAAGGCCAAAAUAAGGUUAAGUUAAUAAGGGCGCACGGUGGAUGCCUUGGCACUAGAAGCCGAUGAAGGACGUGACUAACGACGAAAUGCUUUGGGGAGCUGUAAGUGAGCAAUGAUCCAGAGAUGUCCGAAUGGGGGAACCCGGCAGGUAAUGCCUGUCACUCAUUAUUGUUAAGGUAAUGUAUAGGAAGACGCAGUGAACUGAACCAUCUAAGUAGCUGUAGGAAGAGAAAGCAAAAGCGAUUGCAUUAGUA